rnacentral:rRNA from 1 species
GACGAACCGUGCGAACGUUGUUCGGAAUCACUGGGCUUAAAGGGCGCGUAGGCGGGUUCGUAAGUCUGUGGUGAAAGCCUCCAGCUUAACUGGAGAAGUGCCAUGGAUACUGCGAAUCUUGAGGAGGGUAGGGGCAUCUGGAACGGUCGGUGGAGCGGUGAAAUGCGUUGAUAUCGACCGGAACUCCGGUGGCGAAGGCGAGGUGCUGGACCCUUUCUGACGCUGAGGCGCGAAAGCCAGGGGAGCAAACGGG